rnacentral:rRNA from 1 species
AUUGACCGCUGGCGGCAGGCCUAACACAUGCAAGUCGAGCGAGCGGCGGACGGGUGAGUAAUGUCUGGGAAACUGCCUGAUGGAGGGGGAUAACUACUGGAAACGGUAGCUAAUACCGCAUACCAUCAGAUGUGCCCAGAUGGGAUUAGCUAGUAGGUGGGGUAACGGCUCACCUAGGCGACGAUCCCUAGCUGGUUUGAGAGGAUGACCAGCCACACUGUGACUGAGAAACGGUCCAGACGCCUACGGGAGGCAGCAGUGGGGAAUAUUGCACAAUGGGCGCAAGCCUGAUGCAGCCAUGCCGCGUGUGUGAAGAAGGCCUUCGGGUUGUAAAGCACUGUCAGCGGGGAGGCGUUACCCACAGAAGAAGCACCGGCUAACUCCGUGCCAGCAGCCGCGGUAAUUC